rnacentral:tRNA from 1 species
GCGCCGCUGGUCAACGAGGACGACCCGGCGCUGGUGCUGCCGGUGGGCAUGCAGGCGGUGCGCGUCCUGGCCGAUCCCACGACCGCGGUGUAC